AAAACCACACCUAUACCCCAAUACCCAUAAACCAAAACAUUUGCCAAAACCAGUAAAUGCGAUUAAACCUUAACAACCCGACGCAAUAGCACACAAGUACCGCAAGGGAAAAAUGAAAUAUCAUUAUACACUACGCAUCAAAAAGCAGGAAUUAAUCCCCGUACCUCUCGCAUCACGAUUUAGCCAGAAACCCGCAGACAAAAAGCAUUAACAGCCUGCACUCCCGAAAUCAAGUGAGCUACUCUCAGGCAACCCAAUUGGACCAACCCGUCUCUGUAGCAAAAGAGUGGGACGACCACAGAGUAGAGGCGAAAAACCUAACGAACUUGAUGAUAGCUGGUUACCUGAUAAAUGAAUCUUAAUUCAACUUCAAGCACGACACACAAACACUAGUGCCUUCCCCUUAAAACUUGAAAGAUAUUCAAUAGGGGUACAGCUCUAUUGAAUCAGGCUUCAACCCCAAACGGAGAACCAACAAUACACACCACACACCAGUAGGCUUUAAAUCAGCCACCAAAAAUUUAAGACGUCAAAGCCAACACAACAAAAAUUUCAAUAAUAACCCUACCUUCCCUAAAACACACCAGGUAAUUCCAUACCAUGGAAGAACUAAUGCUAAAAUUAGUAACAAGAAAUAUUCUCUUAAACAUGCCUGUACCUCAGCAACAGAACUCCUACUGACAAUUAACAAACCCUACAAGGACUGAUAACCAUCACAACAAGACCAAAAUCUUACCACUUGUUAACCCAACACAGGAGUGUAGUACAGAAAGAUUAAAAGUUAAGAAAGGAAUUCAACAAAUUCUCAACCCCAACUGUUUAUCAAAAACAUAGCCUUUAGCAAAAAAUAUUAAAGGUCCCGCCUGCCCAGUGACACACCGUUAAACGGCCGCGGUAUACUAACCGUGCAAAGGUAGCGUAAUCACUUGUCCCCUAAAUAGGGACUAGUAUGAACGGCUAAAUGAGGGUACAACUGUCUCUUUCAACUAAUCAGUGAAAUUGAUCUACCAGUACAAAAGCUGGUAUGAACCCAUAAGACGAGAAGACCCUGUGGAGCUUUAGAUAACGAUCAACACACCAUGAUCCACCAUCUUCAGUUGGGGCGACUACGGAGACAAACAAAACCUCCAAGCCAGAGAACUUAACUCCACCACAGACUAACACGUCUACACAUGACCCAGUAUUACUGAGUAACGAACCAAGUUACCCCAGGGAUAACAGCGCUAUCUUCUUUUAGAGUCCCCAUCGCCAAGAAGGUUUACGACCUCGAUGUUGGAUCAGGACACCCAAAUGGUGCAGCUACUAUUAAAGGUUCGUUUGUUCAACGAUUAAAGUCCUACGUGAUCUGAGUUCAGACCGGAGAAAUCCAGGUCGGUUUCUAUCUAUGCUAAAUUUUCUUUAGUACGAAAGGACCAAGAAAAUAGGACCCAUCUUAUAAAGACAUCCUUUAACAAACAGCUG
rnacentral:rRNA from 1 species